UGUCCUCCAUAGGAGGUCUAUAUUGAGCAGAUUCUUUUUGGUAUUGGGUGGUGGAACCGGAGCGUGCUCCAUCCACUCCAUGCAUUGACCUGGUAUUGCAGUGCUUCCAGGACCGGUGC
ensembl:snRNA U2 U2 spliceosomal RNA